rnacentral:lncRNA from 1 species
CAUAGACAUAGGUAGGCAGACAGGUAGGCAGACAGGUAGGCAGACAGGUAGGCAGACAGUCAGGCAGACAGGUAGGCAGACAGGUAGGCAGACAGGUAGGCAGACAGGUAGGUAGGUAGGUAGGUAGUUAGGUAGGUUGGAGGUGUGCAUGCACCAAAGUGUUUCGUGGUGAAUAGAGUCAAAAGUCCUACUGAAGUUUAUCUGCAUCACGAUAAGUGGUCUGUCUCCGGGCAAUGUAUGCUAAGAAAUGAGGUGGCGCAGGGCAACACGGAGAAUUGAUUUCUCCGUUCCAGAGCCACACCUACAUCCCGCCUGUCUUGCGGCGCAGUUUCCGUUUUCCUCACAGAAUUUGUAACCCGGCUAGCGAUGAGCGCGGCGCACAACUUGCACAAAGGGUCCCCCACAGCGAUACCCCGAUAAUUAUCACAUGUUGAGUCAUCUCCCUCCUUGAGUGCGGGGUACAAUGUAGUGGACGUAAAGGCUAGGCACCCUGUUCGCCUCCCUCGUACACGCAGUUGAAUACUUAAGUCCGUUAGGUUGCAAUGGCAUGCCUUGUUCGCCCGUCAUGCCCCUCAGUAGUUGGAUGCUUGUAGUUCUCGGCCAGUGUGGGUUCCCGUUGUGAGGCGUAUGUAUACCUACGCUGUGUGUUAUGUGAAUCCCAUCAAAAUUGACCCCGGUGGGGAUUGAACCCACAGCCUUCGGAUGCUUUCUUCUUUGGAAUCCGACGCGCCACCAUUACGCCACGGAGCCGGUUUUCCGGGAGAACCACAGCGUGCGCUGCUUGGGCGAUAUAUAGUUAGCACAGAGUCCGCCACAGGUGGUGUCCACCACCCUAAUGCCAGUCAUUAGGACUGCUCUACCCUGAUAAAACCCUAAUAAUGGUAGGAACCCUGGCGGUCCCAAUGGUAAAUGCACGCAUGUCCGCACGAUCGGUUCGCUGAUGGUGGAGGGGUCAUGAUUGACCUGUACUGUAUGGCUGAUCGAUGCCGCUUUCUUUCCUCCAGUCAAAUGGCUUGAGGUUGGUCAACAGCUCAAGGGGGAAGAUGGCCUUUUGCUUUGCGAUCACAGGCCGGUUUCUAUUGUUGUUGACGCUGCUGCCAUGGCGUCGGCUCCACACAUGCCACAAACGAUCAAGAAGCAGGUUAGGUUCGAUGUGUCGCUCUGGAGGCACUAUGUGCGUUUCUUAAAUUCCGAGGUGAUUAGGCACCAGUGUCGGAAGCUUUACGGCAGAUUACAACUGAUCUGAGCGCAGAAUCUACUUACUAAUAAAUAGUACCAGGGCGGUUGAGCGUGUCGGUACGGCUUUGACUAGGUGAUUGGAGAAAGCAUUUGGUAAGGCCCGCCCAGCACACUUCAGUCAAGAGCAGGAUGCCCCUUGGAGGGUCGCAAGUGCCGCCGAGCUGCACCGGCAGGCCAUGUUAGAUGCGCGCAGCGAUGUCAACAAACAGGGAGCUGGCCAUGGUUGGGAGGCAUUUCGCGAUGCGCGGAGGGUAUACAAUGCGGCAAAGGGGAAGACAUGCGCUGCUUGUGAUCUUAUGGUGUUUCGGGUUAUGGUGUCAGCAAAAAAUACCGUACUGAUCCCAGAGUAUUAUUAGGGAGGCAUAUCGGAGCGGCCACGAAACCGUGUUGUCUCAUCGAUGACGGCUCCGAGUGGCCGAAAUACUUCGAACAGCUGAUGUACGAUGGUGCUGAUGCUGCAGAUAGGGCUGCAGCCG